GCGCCAUUAGCUCAGUGGAUAGAGCAUCCGCCUUCUAAGCGGAUGGUCACAGGUUCGAAUCCUGUAUGGCGUGCCA
rnacentral:tRNA from 2 species